CCCUACGGGGCGCAGCAGGCGCGAAAACUUUACCAUGCGGGCAACCGUGAUAAGGAAACCCCGAGUGCCAGCACAGGCUGGCUGUCCGCCAGUGUAAAUAACUGGUGAAGAAAGGGCCGGGCAAGACCGGUGCCAGCCGCCGCGGUAAUACCGGCGGCUCGAGUGGUGGCCACUAUUACUGGGCUUAAAGGGUCCGUAGCUGGAUAUACAAGUCUCUUGAGAAAUCCGCCGGCUUAACCGGUGGGCGUUCAGGGGAUACUGUAUUUCUAGGGACCGGGAGAGGUGAGAGGUACCGCCGGGGUAGGAGUGAAAUCCUGUAAUCCCGGUGGGACCACCUAUGGCGAAGGCAUCUCACCAGAACGGGUCCGACAGUGAGGGACGAAAGCUGGGGGAGCAAACCGGAUUAGAUACCCGGGUAGUCCCAGCUGUAAACGAUGCGCGUUAGGUGUGUCAGUGACCACGUGUCACUGAGGUGCCGAAGGGAAACCGUGAAACGCGCCGCCUGGGGAGUACGGUCGCAAGGCUGAAACU
rnacentral:rRNA from 1 species